rnacentral:rRNA from 1 species
UACGGGGGGAGCAAGCGUUGUUCGGAUUUAUUGGGCGUAAAGAGCGUGUAGGCGGCCAGGUAGGUCUGCUGUGAAAACUCGAGGCUCAACCUCGAGAUGUCGGCGGAAACCAUCUGGCUAGAGUCCGGAAGAGGAGAGUGGAAUUCCUGGUGUAGCGGUGAAAUGCGCAGAUAUCAGGAAGAACACCCGUGGCGAAGGCGGCUCUCUGGGACGGUACUGACGCUGAGACGCGAAAGCGUGGGGAGCGAACAGG